GAGAUUUUUGCUGUGUGAUAAAAGCAUAUGUUUGCUAAACAUAAAUAUUUAAAUAUAUCUCA
rnacentral:tRNA from 1 species